UCCUACGGGAGGCAGCAGUAGGGAAUCUUCCGCAAUGGGCGAAAGCCUGACGGAGCGACGCCGCGUGAGCGAAGAAGGCCUUCGGGUCGUAAAGCUCUGUUGUGAGGGACGAAGAAGUGCCGUUCGAAGAGGGCGGUGCGGUGACGGUACCUCACGAGAAAGCCCCGGCUAACUACGUGCCAGCAGCCGCGGUAAUAA
rnacentral:rRNA from 1 species